CUCGGCGGAGCCGGCGCUGCGAAUGGACUGAUGGCCGCUGAGGCUGCUCCUGGCGCGGUUCAUCAUCGGCCGCCGCACUUUCGCGACUGAGACGAAACGACACUCACCUUUACUUAAUGGAAGGCUUCGCUUACAUCCUGAACUUAAAGGAACUACAGAAAGGGACAGAAACUGCUUUCUUUUUAAACAAUGCGCUGAAAGGUUACUAGUGAUAGGAGGCUUAGUGAAGCGCGUGAUGUGAACGGCCACGCUGCAAGGCUGGAGAGAAAAGAGGAGGGAGUGAAGUUGCACCCUGAUCGCGAAUCCUCGGCCUUUUAUCAGGGGCGCCGCCACUCGGGGUCCGACCAUUCGCCUCCAACGAGGGGACAGCGAAUCUGCUGUCGUGUGCAGUCCACAGCAACCACAGGUAUAUGAAAUAAUGUCACUACAUCGGAGCAGCGCCUCUGCUUGCACACCUAUGGGAGUCUGCAGCUGUGACACGUAGAAGUUGGCCACAUCCAGGUCGGUGGCUCCAAAGUGGGCGGCCACACGCACACCCUCGUGCAACGUGAAGCUCACCUGAUGACCCACCAUGGCCAGCAGGCUGCGGAGGGGCAAAGCCACGGCUGAAGCCAUCAGGGCCCCGGGGCAGCCGGAGCACAGGCACGGGAAUGUUCACUGGAGUUUGCAUUGUCUUGGCUGUUGAGUGAAGAAAAAGAGCAGGAAGUCAUUACAUGGUAAGCAUGGGGCUAAUGGAGGAGGGAGGAGUGGAAGCAGAGGCUGGUCUACCAGGCA
rnacentral:lncRNA from 1 species